GCGCUCUAAUGUUUGUGAUCGUGAAGUAGAAAACGAGAAACCUAAAAAUUUCCGGAUUCAAGCACCUGUCAAGUAUUUCCCCGGCUAACUGGUACGGAAAAACAAUUUAUUAAAGAUCAUGUACACUUGGUAUUGCGCAACUUGACAAUACAGGAAUUAAAGACCGGUUGACAUGGAGGCGCUCGAAGAACUGCCAUACACUUUACUGGUUGGAUCCAUCGUGAUGGUGUUGAUGAUGUCAUUUAUUGUUACACGGGUCCUGACUGGCACAUGCAAGAAUACCAGUGAUUUUCGUCCAAAGCCAAAAUCAACCUAAUACAGCACAAAUACAAUCUAAUACAUCAAUUUCAUGAAUAUAUUUUUUAAAACAUAAAAAAAGAAGUAUUUUUAUUGUAUAUUUUUAUUUUUAAAAUUUUCAUUGCUGUUUGAAUUAGUUCAAUUUUUUUAAAAAUAAAUACUUAAACUUU